rnacentral:rRNA from 1 species
GACGUAGGAGGCGAGCGUUGUCCGGAUUCAUUGGGCGUAAAGAGCUCGUAGGCGGUUUGUCGCGUCGGAUGUGAAAACCCGGGGCUUAACCCCGGGCCUGCAUUCGAUACGGGCUGACUAGAGUACGGCAGGGGAGACUGGAAUUCCUGGUGUAGCGGUGAAAUGCGCAGAUAUCAGGAGGAACACCGGUGGCGAAGGCGGGUCUCUGGGCCGAUACUGACGCUGAGGAGCGAAAGCGUGGGGAGCGAACAGG